rnacentral:lncRNA from 1 species
GAAGAAGAAUGAACCAGGAGAGAAACUAACUAGGUUUCCCCUUUUUAUCUGUGGAUUAAUUGUCGGAGUAGAGAAACACACGAUUUGUACGUCUCAAAAUGAGUCAAAAUUCUACAAAGAUUCAGAAAAAAAGGAUCAUACGCAUUUCAGUUUUGACCCUUGCCUGUCCUGACUCUGAGCCUGCCUGCCAUCCUGUGCCUUUGCCCCUAUUCUGGAUUACCAACCUCUGCCUGACCUGACCCUGGGCCUGCCUGCCAUCCUGUACCUUGGCCCCACUACUCUGGAUUAUCGACCCCUGCCUACCUUGACCUGUCAUUUGCCUGCC